GAAAAGAAUGAAAAUCAUAAAUUUUAAUUUAAAAUCAUAAAAAGUUAAUUUAUUUUCCGCAUUACGUUUCUAAUCCACUAUUCAUUUAGGUUGUGUUUGGUUCCACGUAAAACUGAGGAAAAAAAAUUUUCGGUGGGAAAAAAAUUUUACGUCGUUUGUGUUUGUGUUUGGUUUGUAGGAAAAAACAAAAAAAAUUUCCGUGACGGUUGUUUGGUCGAAAGGAAAAGAAAAAAAUAAAAAACUAUUUAAUAUAUAUUUUCUCUUAUUAUAUAUAUUAUUAUAUAUUAUUAAUAUAUAAUAAUUAUCAUAAUAUAUUUAAUUAUUAUAAUUUAUAUUUAUAAACAAGAUAUAUUUAAAAUAUAUUAUAUAAUAAAUAUAUAAUAUAAUAUAUAAUAAUAAUAUAUAUUUAAUAUUAUAAAAUAAAUUAUUAUAUAUUUAUAAAUAAAAUUUUAUAUAUAUAUAUAUAUAUA
rnacentral:lncRNA from 1 species